UCGGGAAUUUUGGGCAAUGGGCGAAAGCCUGACCCAGCAACGCCGCGUGAAGGAUGAAGUAUUUCGGUAUGUAAACUUCGAAAGAAUAGGAAGAAUAAAUGACGGUACUAUUUGUAAGGUCCGGCUAACUACGUGCCAGCAGCCGCGGUAAUACGUAGGGACCAAGCGUUGUUCGGAUUUACUGGGCGUAAAGGGCGCGUAGGCGGCGUGGUAAGUCAUCUGUGAAAUCUCCGAGCUUAACUCGGAACGGUCAGAUGAUACUGCUGUGCUAGAGUACAGAAGGGGCAAUCGGAAUUCUUGGUGUAGCGGUGAAAUGCGUAGAUAUCAAGAGGAACACCUGAGGUGAAGACGGGUUGCUGGGCUGAUACUGACGCUGAGGCGCGAAAGCUAGGGUAGCGAAACGGGAUUAGAUACCCCCGUAGUCCCUGAGCGGGCUGGCAAGGCGCAU
rnacentral:rRNA from 1 species